GAUGAACGCUAGCGGCAGGCCUAACACAUGCAAGUCGAGGGGUAGAAGGAGCUUGCUCCUUUGAGACCGGCGCACGGGUGCGUAACGCGUAUGCAAUCUACCUUGUACAGGGGAAUAGCCCAGAGAAAUUUGGAUUAAUGCCCCAUAGUAUAUAACCUUCGCAUGUUGGUUAUAUUAAAGUUCCAACGGUACAAGAUGAGCAUGCGUCCCAUUAGUUAGUUGGUAAGGUAACGGCUUACCAAGACGAUGAUGGGUAGGGGUCCUGAGAGGGAGAUCCCCCACACUGGUACUGAGACACGGACCAGACUCCUACGGGAGGCAGCAGUGAGGAAUAUUGGUCAAUGGUCGCAAGACUGAACCAGCCAUGCCGCGUGCAGGAAGACGAUCCUAUGGAUUGUAAACUGCUUUUAUACAGGAAGAAACCCUCCCACGUGUGGGAGCUUGACGGUACUGUAGGAAUAAGGAUCGGCUAACUCCGUG
rnacentral:rRNA from 1 species